CUCUCGGUCGCCGCUUCCCUGCAACUCUCUUGGUCGCCGCUUCCCUGCAGCAGACAGUUUUAUCAUUGGCAAGGUGCUGCUUCUAUGCAUACCAAAGCUGCGCUCUGUAUGGCUUCGAUGCAGAUCUAUGCUACGCUUUGUGAUCCUUCGGUGCAUAACUAGCCUGCUGUCUAAUACUUUAAUUCAAAUUCAAGGGCGUAUUCAUUACGAAUCAAAAUCAGUAACCAUAGAUUUGCGAUCCAAGUGUUGGACUGUGGAGCUUUGGACGUGGAUAUGGAUAAUUUUUAUUUUUCUUUUGUUUCAUUAUUUUCUUAAUCAUGAUUUUGUUACGUUUUGUUCUCCGGAAAGAUGCGCACAAUUUUGUUUUGUGGCGAAAAGAUACCCAAGUGUGGGGAUGUGGAGCAGUAAAGAAGAUACUAUUUUCA